rnacentral:rRNA from 1 species
GGGAUUGCCUCAGUAACGGCGAGUGAAGCGGCAACAGCUCAAAUUUGAAAUCUGGCCUUCUGGCCCGAGUUGUAAUUUGUAGAGGAUGCUUCGAGUGUGGUCUGGUCUAAGUUCCUUGGAAUAGGACGUCAUAGAGGGUGAGAAUCCCGUAUGCGACUGGGUGCCUAAGCUCAUGUGAAGCUCCUUCGACGAGUCGAGUUGUUUGGGAAUGCAGCUCAAAAUGGGUGGUAAAUUUCAUCUAAAGCUAAAUAUUGGCCAGAGACCGAUAGCGCACAAGUAGAGUGAUCGAAAGAUGAAAAGCACUUUGGAAAGAGAGUUAAAUAGUACGUGAAAUUGUUGAAAGGGAAGCGCUUGCAAUCAGACUUGCACGCAGUUGAUCAUCCGAUGUUCUCACCGGUGCACUCGACUGCGUUCAGGCCAGCAUCAGUUUCGGUGGUUGGAUAAAGGCCAAGGGAAUGUGGCUUCCUUCGGGGAGUGUUAUAGCCCAUGGUGCAAUGCAGCCUACCGGGACUGAGGACCGCGCUUCGGCUAGGAUGCUGGCGUAAUGGUUGUAAGCGACCCGUCUUGAAACACGGACCAAGGAGUGGAACAUUUUUGCGAGUGUUUGGGUGCAAAACCCAUACGCGUAAUGAAAGUGAACGGAGGUGAGAACCCUUAAGGGUGCAUCAUCGACCGAUCCUGAUGUCUUCGGAUGGAUUUGAGUAAGAGCAAAACUGUUCCGACCCGAAAGAUGGUGAUCUAUACGUGAAUAGGGUGAAGCCAGAGGAAACUCUGGUGGAGGCUCGCAGCGGUUCUGACGUGCAAAUCGAUCGUCAAAUUUGCGUAUAGGGGCGAAAGACUAAUCGAACCAUCUA